UGUGUUGUUGUUGUUGUUGUUGUUGUUGGUGGUGCAUCGCUUCUCCCGCUGCAGGUUCCUGCUCUGCAAGUCCAAAAUUCAGGACAAGAACGACGUUCCGACAAUUGCGCUCUCACUGACACCAGCAAACCGCGGAAACGCGGACCACACCGUCGCUGGUACCCCAUCCGGCGGCUACACGAACUUGGGCUACGUGCUUAAUACGUGAACACGUGCACGUGGAUGAGGAAAAAUUUAUAACAUCGAUGAACUACCUAGAUAAUUUAAUUUUUUCCUGGUUGUGUACCUACAUAUAUAUUCUGUAACACAUAAGAACUUUAUUUUGCGUAAUUAAGGACUUUAUACCAAAUAUAUAAAUAUACUACCUCUUUUCUAAUAUGCAUAGAAUUACAAAAGUUAAUGUAGUUGGCGCCUGACCUACAUUUUUCGAGUUUGUGUGCUUGUGUGUUGGGUUUGUGUGUGUGUUGUACGCUUGGUGCCGCAAUAUAUAGGGCUGUUGAGGUGCGUAUCCAGGAUACUUAUGGCGCCG